rnacentral:lncRNA from 1 species
CCUUUUUUGUUUUGGGGAUCAGAAUCUGCCGUGUGUGCCUCAGUGCAGAGGGCCAGCCAGGAGCAGUUCCUGGAGGUGGCCCAAGGCCAAAGAUCCCCGUGCAACCUCACCUUUGGCCAAUUCGCCUGUGCCCAGGGAACUUGGCUCCAGGACCUUCAGGAUGAUUUCCUCGUAUCCUUAUAUUCCUGCCUGGCUUCUAAACCUACCACAGCUGUGGAUCCAGAAUAUUCCAUCCUGUUCUUUUCCAAAUAUGAUGCCAGGAAGCUUUUGGACUCCCUGUCCUUGUUCAACCAGAGGUUUCCCCAGGUGCCCCUUUCCC